GACAAUCAACAGGCCUCACGUGGAAACUCUACAUGUCGCGUUGCUGCCUCAGACCUGCGUCUCAUGCCGGCUGUGUUCGCUCUAAACCUGGGGCGCCGAAAUGAAAACCAAGAGGCCGUUUGACCGUCACGCACAGGCAAGCCCACAGAUAGAGCAGCAGCAGCAGCAGCCUGAUAUCAGCUCCUGUUGAGUCUGAUUACAACCAUCCAGAGAUUGAAAAAAAAAAAAAAGGGAGAGAGAGAGACGAAGUGAACAAGAGGCAGACAGAAGGGAGUGAGAUGCAGCAGCAACACAGUCUGGGAAUGAGUGUCAUGAGAAGCUGGAAAGGUCAUUUCUAAAGUGACGCUGCCUCGCUAACGGCUGCCUUUUUGCACAGAGCAACAUUCGUCGUGUUUCUGCUCAUGUAGUGAAUAGGAACAUGCUGAGUGAAAGGAAGAAAACGAUAAGAGACAAAAGGGGCAAGUGGAGAAAAAAAACAGUGCAAAGAUAUUUACAGAGAGAGAGAGAGAGAGAGAGAGAGAGAUAUGGAAGAGACAGAACGGAGGGAGAGCGAGGGAACAAUCGAAAUAAAGAAAAAAUAGAAGGGAGUGAGCUGGAGAUGGAAGCAGGGAAAGGGGAAUAUGAUCAAAUAAAGGAGGAGAACCAGUGGGGGGGGGCAAGAAAUGUGGGUGAGAGAGAGGUUUAGUUGACACAUAAAACA